rnacentral:tRNA from 1 species
AGAAGUUUAGGAUUAAAUAUCAAACCAGUGGCCUUCAAAACAACAAACAAGGGAAUAGCCCUUAACUUCUG